rnacentral:rRNA from 1 species
AUUGAACGCUGGCGGCAGGCCUAACACAUGCAAGUCGAGCGGAUGAAGGGAGCUUGCUCCUGGAUUCAGCGGCGGACGGGUGAGUAAUGCCUAGGAAUCUGCCUGGUAGUGGGGGAUAACGUCCGGAAACGGGCGCUAAUACCGCAUACGUCCUGAGGGAGAAAGUGGGGGAUCUUCGGACCUCACGCUAUCAGAUGAGCCUAGGUCGGAUUAGCUAGUUGGUGGGGUAAAGGCCUACCAAGGCGACGAUCCGUAACUGGUCUGAGAGGAUGAUCAGUCACACUGGAACUGAGACACGGUCCAGACUCCUACGGGAGGCAGCAGUGGGGAAUAUUGGACAAUGGGCGAAAGCCUGAUCCAGCCAUGCCGCCUGUGUGAAGAAGGUCUUCGGAUUGUAAAGCACUUUAAGUUGGGAGGAAGGGCAGUAAGUUAAUACCUUGCUGUUUUGACGUUACCAACAGAAUAAGCACCGGCUAACUUCGU